ACAUAUAAUCACUCUGUAAUUACAAAUCUUCCUUUCUGCAUCACCUUAACAGGUAACAGCCUUCUCGUCAGUCGUCUGCGUUAAAAGCUUUCUGGUCUCCUUCCAGUUUGCCCCACGAAAGUAGUGUAGAAAGUAAUAGCCUACUAUAGGGUGUGGACACUGUAAUGAGGAUCAUGUAUUUCAUAGAAAAAUCGAUAUUUUUUUUUUCAGAUGCUGGACACUAGAACAGCUCAUACACUGCCAGGAAAAACUAAUUUGAUCCCAUUUUUGCUUUUGAGUGGAUUGAGAUUACUUUGUCGCGUGAAAAUUUGUGUCAAAUGAAAGCCGCAACACAACACAGACAAAUGAUGGUGGUCAGUGUUUGCAUUAUCUCGGAGCGGUUCACUGAAGAUUGGUGUUUUCAUUAUGUCGGCGAGUCUAUAAAGCCCGGGAAUAACUCAUAUUUAAUCAUUGCGAUUCAUCCGCACCACCACCCGCUGGAGAAAUCAACUCAAGAGCUGGAAUAAGUGAUUAAAAAGGCCCUGGGUUCAGUCACAGUGUGACUCUAAAUCACACGCAGAAAAACUUUUCUGUAAUAUCAUGGUGUAACUAACUAGAGGCGGGGUGGACCGCCAUGGGGACCGAUGGCGAGGCCAAGCGCUAAGAGCCGGGCGCAGUUGGCUUGCCACGCCUGGGAGAACAACAGCGGGGGGCUCGGAUAGGUCCGGACCCAGAUUUAGAGCAGAGAGCAAAGUCACUCUGCUGGAUCAAAGGCCCGGUUCACACCUGGUAUUACCAUGCAUCCAGGGUGAUUGGAUCACGAGAGAGAGAGAGAGAGAGGGGGAUCGAGAGCUGGGCGAAGAGGAGCUGAGCGAAUCAAUGCUCUAUAAUGAAAUAAUAUUUUACUCAUUUGAAAUAGUAAAAAAAACACAACAGAAAAUCAAUAUGUGGUUGUGGUAUGUUGCUCUUGUGGCUGAUCGUAACAACAAAGUCAAUGUAUGGGAAACAGCGAGGAGUGUGAAGAUACUUUUGGUUUAUUUUUUUUCAGAGAGUUAGAGGAGGUCCGCCGAGUAGGUGGUCCUUCGGUGUGGCAGCGGCACACAUUCACGUUCACACCGCUGAAAGAAUGUGGCUGCGUGCGACCCAGGCCGCCUCCGUUUUAAAUCCCAAGACGCAUGUCAAUGACACACAGGUAUUGAUGGGGGAGUUUUUUCGGGAGACAUUUUCAGGCAAGAAGAACAAACACAUGAGUCGAGCGGGGAAGCGAGUGAAAGCAGAACAGAGAACACGUGACCAGCUGCGGAGGAAGAGGUGGAGCGGGCACAGAGGGCAGAUUGUCCCGCUGCUGUUCUCCGCUCUCAUUACAGUUUCAGGUGAAGCCGUUCAACUGUCGAGGCUUGACAACAGGCUGCUUGAGAAGGGGGACAGACCUCCGACUGCUACAAGAUUUCUCCAAACGUUGACCCUCCCUCCCCUCUCCCACUCCCCAUGGCUCUCCUUGGGGUCUGCACCCCCUGCUGCUGUGGAAACCAGAUCCUAUAAUGGGAAGAGCCCACCCAACUGCUGCUGACCAGCUGGAAUGAGAGUCUGGUGGGAAGCAAAGCAAAACUGGAAUCACACCACAUCGCCUUCCACCCAAACACUAAAACCCUCCGCAAGUACAGCCGUGGGCCAUAAAAUGGAGAUGAUUGUUUAGCUUGUGUCAGCCUUAAAAAAAUAAAAAAAAACUGAGGGAAGGCAAACAUUUUUCCAGAGACAUAAUUUAAUGUGGCACAAGGGUUGUCAUUUUAUGAUAAUGACGGCAGUGACAUUUUUGCUUAUUACUCCACCAAGGUGACUUUGAUGGUGUGUUUUCCUGCAAGGCUUCAAAACAGCCCACAAUGCACACUCCCUGCACUCCUUCAAAUUAAGUCGUACUCAUAUUGAUCACUAAGCACACAAAAACUCAUUCUCUCGAGGGUCUUGCCACCCUUAAUUUAUACACAGAAAAACCCUCUGCCCUGUUAGCAUUCACAAUCACAGGGGCGAAAAAUAGAUUUUAGUUCACUGAAGUAAAGACAACAAGGGGAAAGCUGUAAAAUGUAUUCCACUCAAACACUUUCUCCUGCAAGCAAGCUUAUUAAAAGCCUCUCAAAUCAAACUGAAGGAGACGGCGAAGGGCAGGGGGGCGACAGAAUAUAUUUACCCCAAAUUCCCAGCAUUCCUUGAGGCAGACAGCAAACGCAGGACUUGCGCUGAGCACACAGGGCAUGAAUAGUCUCAGCCAGAUUCAGGCUAAACUCAGGAAAACUCACUCGCAAAACUCACAGCCACGCAUGAAGAAAAAAAAUUCAAGGGACCCAUGUCCCUUUAAUGCAUGCAACCGCUGUCGCCACGUCGUGACAGACAGUGGCAUGUGCACACAGGUGACCCCUGUCCUCCUCUGAUCUGCUCUUCAGCUGCCCUUUUUAGGCCACCUUCACCUGUCCUGUCAAUACAUCCGCCACAUGUGUUUGAGCGACCCACUGAGGGGACAGAGAGUCUCACCCGGGAGCUGUACCCUGACCCCAACCCUAAUUCCUCCCGCAGACAGGGGCGACCCUUUUCCGCACAAUUACUUGCCAUGAAAGC